UACGUAGGGUGCAAGCGUUGUCCGGAAUUAUUGGGCGUAAAGAGCUCGUAGGCGGUUUGUCGCGUCUGCUGUGAAAACCCAGGGCUUAACUCUGGGCUUGCUUUCGAUACGGGCAGACUAGAGGUAUGCAGGGGAGAACGGAAUUCCUGGUGUAGCGGUGAAAUGCGCAGAUAUCAGGAGGAACACCGGUGGCGAAGGCGGUUCUCUGGGCAUUACCUGACGCUGAGGAGCGAAAGUGUGGGGAGCGAACAGG
rnacentral:rRNA from 1 species